CAGGGAAUAUUGCACAAUGGACGGAAGUCUGAUGCAGCGACGCCGCGUGGACGAAGAAGACCUUCGGGUUGUAGAGUCCUUUUCAGGGGGAAGAGAGAGGACGGUACCCUUGGAAUAAGCGUCGGCUAACUACGUGCCAGCAGCCGCGGUAAGACGUAGGACGUGAGCGUUAUCCGGAUUUACUGGGCGUAAAGCGUCUGUAGGCGGGACAGUAAGUUGGGCGUGAAAGCUUCGGGCUUAACCCGGAGAGGACGUACAAGACUGCUGAACUAGAGGCCACCAGAGGGGCGUGGAAUUUCCGGUGUAGCGGUAAAAUGCGCAGAUAUCGGAAGGAACACCAGUGGCGAAGGCGGCGCCCUGGGGUGGGCCUGACGCUAAGAGACGAAAGCUAGGGGAGCGAACAG
rnacentral:rRNA from 1 species